AAUUUGUACUUUACUUGGAGACUAUCAUAAAUUACAUUUCUUUCUUAUUCAUAAUCUGAUCUAUGUUUCAUUUAAAAAAAUACUGGUAAACAUAUGAGCCAUAGUAGUUUCAGAAGAUACUGAAAGAGAGAGGUAUGUUAAAAGCUAGUGAAGUAUUACCUAAGAGAUCAUGAAUGCCUGUGAUAGUGACAGGAGACAGAAAAACUCCUAGGCAAGCAGAGUCAGGAAACCCGAUCCUCAAACCAAGGACAGCUUAAAGCCUGAGAUCCAAGCUGCCAGUUCCAGACAGAGUCCACAGCUGCAGUGAGAACUAUCCCUGUCUUACCCACUCUCUCUCAAUUGGUUCCUUCUGAAUGAUGCCCUUUAACCAAUCCAAUGGUGCUUUUUCCAAUACCACCCAUGGACCAAUCAGCAUGCACUUCCCCAUUCUAAGCCCAUAAAACCCCCAGGACUCAGCCUCACAGAUGGCUAACCGGCUUUCAGGACAAGAACUUGGAACUUGCUGAGCUGGGGAUGGUGGGAGUAAAAGAGUUGUAACCUUCCCUUCUGCUCCCCAAACAAUGUGAGAGAAGAAACCAUUGGACGCCACUCUCUCCUGUUAGCCCAACUGCCAGAGCGAAAAAGUUGUGACGUCACUGGCUUACCCAGCAAGCUAACUGUGGGAGGUGGGAGUAAAAGAGCUGUAACCUUCUCUCCCACUCGAGGAACUACCCUCCUGCUUGACAAAUUACAGGAGCGAAAAAGCCACGUAUCAGAGGAGACUUCAGGAAAAUUAAGCCUGACAGUCUCUCCAAACAACUUUGUGCACAUAUUAAGUAAAGGAGGAGGUACUGCUUACACCUAAAACCUAAUCUCAGAUGAAUUAUGGAGUGAAUAUAACUACUACUGAGCUAAAUGUUAAAAACAAAUGUGUAAGAUCUCAUAAAGACAAUACAUGCAAUAUUU
rnacentral:lncRNA from 1 species